rnacentral:rRNA from 1 species
GGUAGGAGAAGGCUCUGGAAAGUGCCGCCAUAGUGGGUGAUAGCCCCGUAUCCGAAACCUGAGUCUGGUGAAAUCGAGUAGGACGGGACACGUGAUAUCCUGUCUGAACAUGGGGGGACCAUCCUCCAAGGCUAAAUACUCCUGACUGACCGAUAGUGAACCAGUACCGUGAGGGAAAGGCGAAAAGAACCCCGGUGAGGGGAGUGAAAUAGAUCCUGAAACCGUAUGCAUACAAACAGUGGGAGCGGACUUGUUCCGUGACUGCGUACCUUUUGUAUAAUGGGUCAGCGACUUACAUUCAGUAGCAAGGUUAACCGCAUAGGGGAGCCGUAGAGAAA